CACCACUUUGCAAUGUCUGGCUGUGUCUCACUGCCUGAACCACUGACAGCCACCACUUUGGGAUCUGUAUUUUCAUUAGGAACCUGCCAUAGAUCAAGGGAGGAGAACAGCAAAUGGAGGAGGGGGUGGUAAAGCCUGGGCCUUGUUGGAGACACCAUUUCUGUGUGGUUCUGCUGGAUGGAAGACCUUCAAAAGUUAGGAAUCCCCAAAACACGGCCUGGGCUUGAGGAUGAUGGAGGCAGCUGGUAUACCAAAAGAAAACGCCAGCACAAAACCCAGCCAAGCUCCUUGGAAAUGUAAAUAGACCGGAACCACUGGUGUCCUCUUAACACAGCAUCAAUCACUGCUGGGUGCUGGAAGUGGCAGCACAUUCGUUGCAGUCCAGGCAGCCAUUGCGGGCAGCAGAUGGAGAGGGUUUAAGACCUUGUAGCACUGUUUUGAAGCUUCUCUGCAGAAGAUGGAGCACAGAUGGAGUGUGCUUUGACCUGCUCACUCAGAUGGGGAAAUAAACGUGUAGAAAGGCCUGCUGACACGUGGCUUCAAAUCCUCUGGCAGAACACAGACUUCGCCCAUCUCUGCUGCAUUCCCUGGGUCGCCCUCGUCCCCUGUUGCUCCCCCAGUGCUGCACUUCCCUUUGUGGACAGGAGAGUGCAUUCCCCAGCAUGGAAAGCUGUGAGGAAAGGAGGUUGCAUGGAAAGAACUGUAAGGUGCUGCAUGAGGACAGAAGGGAACCAUGCCCCUGUGGCACUCGGGGAGGGACAGGUUUUGUCGCUCAUCUGAUUCCACUUGGCUGGCGAAGGGUUGGCACAGCACGCAAAAGCCACAGGUGCAAAGAUCAGGCUGACUCAGACCGAGGGGAGAAUCCAGCAGCGGUCAGAGAGCAGAGUGUAGAGGAGAGGCGGCAGCGGGAUGCAGGAGUGUCACCAGCUGUAGGUCUUGAACGUGCGUGGUAGGCUGGAGUCCUCCCAGGUAGGCACACACAGCAAGGUGUUCCCGUGCCUUGCCCGAGUAAACAGCAGCCGGGCACGCAGGGGAGGGGAAGUCAAGCUGCCUGUCCAAGUGCUGCCCUCUGUGAAAAACAGUGACGGGGCAGAUGGGUUUGAAUAACCAUUGGGUCCCUACCUUACACCCACCACAUCCAGGUCCACAUCGGGAUAGCUGAACACCCUCAGGUCUCUGAAGCAGACUCACCUGGGACUGGCCGGCAUCUCCGUGCAGGAAAUGCCCUGAGCAUUGUGGUUUGCGGCACUGCUUCUGUUAGAAAACAGUCCCAAAGGGGACUUUGGGGUGAAAUGAUUGCUCGGUGUUUGGGUAGUGGUUAUGGGAAGACCCUCCUGGGACACUUCAGGGCUGUGCAUUUACUCCUAAGGCUUUUAGCCGAAAAUAGUGUUCCUCUAUGCGAGGAGUUAAAUCGAAGAGCCCCCUCCACAGAGUCACUUCACAGGCAGGAUGCUGUAGUGUUUUUAAGACUCUGCAGCUAAUGAGAUGUCAUUUUCUGACAGGGGAAGCGCGGCCGUGGCAGAUAUGUAGUCAGAAGGACCUAGAGGGACCCUGCAGAGCUGACAGCGGGCCCUGCUUAGUGCCCGCCCCCCCCCCCCCCGCUCCGCCGCGGCAAGCAGUCCAAACAAAACAGUAGCAGUGGGACAAAGGAAGAGGAAUGUGCGCAGCGUGUGCCCGGCCACGUGUGCGUGUGCCUGAGUGUGUGUGUGUGUGUGCGCGCACGUGGGCGCGUGCCCUGCAGCAUGUGCAUGUGCGCGUGUGCCCAGCGGUGCGCGCACACGCGUGUGUGCACGUGCGUGUGCCCCGCAGCGUGUGUGACCCGCAGGGGUCCCGGCGGGGGUGACACCGCGCAGCCCCGCGGUGACAAAGGCGCGGCGCGGCCCGCCUCUCUCCCCCAUUCACAACCCGCGGCCGGCCGGCGGCGCGGACGGAUUUUUUUUUUGUGAAUGGAGGCGGUGACGUCGCC
rnacentral:lncRNA from 13 species